UAAGGUAUUGAUUUGUGGAUGUUUCGUUGAUCCAAAGGCCGUCGAGGCUUGAUCUUGGAUGAACUGUUGGAAGUUUCUUCAAGGGGCCGUGGGCUUGAUCUUUGAAGGUGGAUUUGAGCGGAUCUUCAAGGAGCCGUUGGGGCUUGAUCUUGAGGAUGAGUGUUUCUUCAAGGGCCAUUAAGGCUUGAUCUUGAAUAACAGUGAUGAACGGAUCUUCA
rnacentral:lncRNA from 1 species